rnacentral:lncRNA from 1 species
GUGGCCAGUUGCCCGCCGCUGAGAAUGAAGCUCAGAGCAUUUGGGCUUAAGCCGGUUCAGCUCAGAGGUGGGUUUCGGAAGUCUGUGGCGGACCACCGCAGCAAGUCAUCACUCAGCGUACAAGCCUUUCCAUUUCUGAAAAUAUAAAGAACUUAAGCAUGCGGCGUUCGGAGUGUAGAUUGCUUUGAGGUAUUUCAAAGCAGCGCUGAUCAUGGGCAGAGGAGCUGAUAUGUGCAACAGAAACUACUCACUGGAACUCUUCUGGACGUCUGUCCUCUGUAAUGCAAGUGUCUGCCCUCACUCUGGCGACUGUGCUGUUGGAACGCUGGUGCUCAUCUUUCACUGUCCUCCACAAAGCAUGCCUCAGGACUGUAGGCAGGUAAUCAUCCCCACAAUGAUGAAUGUACUGAGCUGCACUUUCAAUUUCUUGUACUCAGUUUAAGAAUGCUUCUAGCUAUACUCAUUUGUUUAAUUAUACAAUGAAACAUUUAUUAACUACUGAUUGCCAAAGACUUGCAAAUCUUGACUUGGAAUUGAAUGAAGAGAAGAGGAGCAGGGUCUUGAGUCACAAAAAGUUUAUCUAUCAUUUGCUACCUUUAUAAAUUAAUCACAGUUUCCUUGUAUAUAGCUUUUUGGAAAAUUAAAACCAGUGAUUUUGUGAUUAGCAAGUUUAGCUUUCAAAAUCCCAUAUCCUUGACAUUCAUACACAUAUUUAAUGGCACCUGGGGCUUUUCUAUCUCAAGUAGUUUUGCUUCCCAAUCUUUUAUGCUAGAAAGGUUAAGGUUAUUAACUAUGAUAUUUUCCUCUGAAAAUGUGGUGAUGUAUUUCAUCAAUCAAAACUUUCCCAUAGGACUCACGCAUUGACCACGUGCUUGUAAUCCUAUCAAACUUAGACUUGCUGAUAUUUAUUUUAGUUCUGACCUGAGAGCAUAGAUAUGUAGAUACACAGAACAGAAUGUCAUACAGCCUGUAUGGCUGCAAGUACUGACUUUUCUGGAGUGACUAAAAGAAGAACCAACAGACACAUAUACAGACAAGCUGGGGUUGGGUAGGGUGUGCUAUGAUGGGGAAUCCCUAACAGCCUGAAUACUAGGGAUUUUAUUGUAUAGACAAUGAAGCAGAUCUUAUUAUAUACAGCUGAACAAGGAGAUGGGUGAACCAAUCUUUGUAUGGAGACUCUGUAGGUAAGUUGUCUCUGAAUAGUGUCAGCUGGGAGGAGAAAGCUGUGGUUGGUUGACACUUUCUGCACAGAUUGUCACCAUUUGUACUCAGAGCAGAGGAAGCCCUUGGUAUUUCCCUAAGACUAUGCUGGGGAGGCCUCAUUAAAACUAAAUUUAAGAAAAUAUUACAAUGACCAAAA